CAGUAGCCACGGGAAUACGAAGGGUGCAAGCGUUAAUCGGAAUUACUGGGCGUAAAGCGUGCGUAGGCGGUGAGUUAAGUCUGCUGUGAAAUCCCCGGGCUCAACCUGGGAAUGGCAGUGGAUACUGGCUCGCUAGAGUGUGUCAGAGGAUGGUGGAAUUCCCGGUGUAGCGGUAAAAUGCGUAGAGAUCGGGAGGAACAUCAGUGGCGAAGGCGGCCAUCUGGGACAACACUGACGCUGAGGCACGAAAGCGUGGGGAGCAAACAGGAUUAGAUACCCCCGUAGUCCCUGUCUCUUAUAC
rnacentral:rRNA from 1 species